AUGACUUCUCAGACUUUUGGCUCAGAUCAAAUGUAGUAUCUGUUCUUAUCAGUUUAAUAUCUGAUACAUCCUCUAUCUGAGGACAUUAUAUUACAUGGAAUUUUGAAACUGGGAAAUGGAAUAGGAGUUUGCUUAGUCCACUCCAUGCAUUGACCAGGUACUGCAGCACUUCUGGGAAUGGUGCACUGGUG